rnacentral:rRNA from 1 species
UACAGAGGUGGCAAGCGUUGUUCGGAAUUACUGGGCGUAAAGGGCGCGUAGGCGGUCUUUUAAGUCUUGUGUGAAAUCCCUCGGCUCAACUGAGGAACUGCACGGGAUACUGGAAGACUUGAGUUCGGGAGAGGGAAGCGGAAUUCCGGGUGUAGCGGUGAAAUGCGUAGAUAUCAGGAGGAACACCGGUGGCGAAGGCGGGUCUCUGGGCAACAACUGACGCUGAGGAGCGAAAGCGUGGGGAGCGAACAGG